ACACUAUGGCAAGAGAAACUGGAAGAUAUUAUGAAGCUAAGGACAUUGUAUGAAAAAAUGGAUGGAAGAAGCCGGAUUUAACGUAAGAACUAUGGAAUAAGGAGAAUAAGAAGAAUUGAACCUUCUGUUGCUUGUUUGAAUAACCAAAGAAA